GCCGGACGUGGUGGCACAUGCCUGUAGUCCCAGCUACUCGGGAGGCUGAGGCAGGAGGAUCGCUUGAGUCCAGGAGUUCUGGGCUGUAGUGCGCUAUGCCGAUCGGGUGUCCGCACUAAGUGCAGCAUCAAUAUGGUGACCUCCCAGGAGCCAGGGACCACCAGGUUGCCUAAGGAGGGGUGAACCAGCCCAGGUCAGAAACGGAGCAGGUCAAAACUCCUGUGCUGAUCACUACUGGGAUCGCGCCUGUGAAUAGCCACUGCACUCCAGCCUGGGCAACAUAGUGAGACUCAUCUCUU
rnacentral:SRP_RNA from 1 species